UACGGAGCGUGCAAGCGUUGCUCGGAAUCACUGGGCGUAAAGAGCGUGUAGGCGGUUUCGUAUGUCUGACGUGAAAGCCCCGGGCUCACCCCGGGAAGUGCGUUGGAAACUGCGAGACUAGAGUCCCGGAGAGGAAGGUGGAAGUCCAGGUGUACCGGUGAAAUGCGUAGAUAUCUGGAAGAACACCGGUGGCGAAGGCGGCCUUCUGGACGGUGACUGACGCUGAGACGAGAAAGCGUGGGGAGCAAACAGG
rnacentral:rRNA from 1 species